GAGACAGUCUACACAAACAUGCAACACACUCUCAGCACAGUACAAUCAAACUUCAGUCAACUCCAUCUGGAAUUCAAUGCAACCAAAAGUAAGAUGAUUUCAAAGCCUACCAACGGAGAAAAUCUGCAGCAGAAAAUGAACAGGAGUACCAACUAUCACAAAAAGCGCAAUGGUAUAA